rnacentral:lncRNA from 10 species
AGGGGAAGCCCCAGUAGAGGGAGGAGGAGCCUGGAGAUGCUGCUGGGAAGGACUGGACCAGACUUCCAUCCCUCUAACCUCUGCCCAGCCCAAGCAGCAGCCUGCAAUGAAUGUUUGUGCUGAGGACCGAGACCAGCUGUGUCAAUGUUAACUGCUGGUUCCAGGAUACUCUUUCCCAGGUGGAUGAGGGUGAAAACAAUAAAGAAUGUCACUCAUUGCUUCAGGGAAUUCCUGAAAACCAAUUAUCCAGAGCAGGUGAUGCUGGCUGUCUGUCCUGGGGACACGGACACUGAGGGUGGCUGAGUCAGCUCAUAGGAGGCCACGGAUCCUACAGGAGAGAAAACGGGAGAGAAAAGGCUUGAAACUGAGGAGCUGAACUCCAAGUAAAUCUUCCCACGUGCCUGGCCUGGACACAGAUCCAGGGAUGAAAGAGCCCUAAGGCAGUGUGAGCACAUGAGCACUGUGUGGGGGGAUUUCAGCCCCGCCGAGCCCAUCCACCUGCAGCAGGGUCAUGAGCAUCCUGCCCACCACAGGCGGGGGCCCUGCUGAGCUCAGAGUCAGGGCCAGGCUGGACCCAGAGCCCUGGGACUGGACCAGUGGCUAGGACCCUAGGGGCAGCACCUGUGCAGUAAGCAAGGACGCCGAGGAAGAGAGGGAUCCAUGCCAUGGCUGAGGCACCUCCGAUGCUGCUUCCUGAGGCCCAGGCUGGGCAGGUUCUUCCAGGCCUCUCUUAUCCCCUUGCUGGAAAGAGCGGCCCGUGAUGCAAAUCAGCAGUCAGGGGCUGCUGCAGGAGGAGCUGUGUGGUUUCCAGAGAAGGGCUCAGCCCCAAGGGACAGAGAGAGAGGGGGCCCCUAAAGACCCACCCUCAGCACACAGAAUUCUCAUUCUCCUUCUGGUCCCAUCAUCUGGGUUGACAUCGUCACUGUAGGUUGUGUUAUGGCCUCACUCCUGAGCUGAUCUGGCCAUGCAGAACUCUGAGAGGAAUUCUUUGUGCGUUUUCCAGGUAGUAUGAUGUCCUGCCCAUGUGGCCAUUCCUUGUCCUGCGUGGAGAUGGCCAGGGACUGACUUACAAUGGCGACUGAGGGAUUAUUCUGAGAUCUAAGGUCCCUGAUUCCCUGGUCUGCAGACUGCUGGUGCCAAUGGAGGAAAUUUUUCUCUUCUCUUUGUGACUCAUGCCUGCCUCAAUACCAGGACCAGCGUACAGUGGUGACUCCUGCACCAAAGUCAGAGACAGAAGAACAUCCACCCAUCAAAUGUUAAUCCAGACCCACUGUGGUCUGGGACACGUUCCAUGCGGUGAAUUCAGCAGGAACAAGACACAGCCUUCUUGAAGUGAGUUGUUCAUCGUGCUGGUUUGGCUGUGCAGGAAAACUGGGUUUGCAGACCCAGCAGACAGUCCCUGUCACCUUCCACCUGAGCACUGUCUUCUAUAUUCACCGAAAAGACUGGUGCCUGUGAUUCCCAGGUCCUGCUCAGCUGGGAUUGACCAUGUGACUCAGGCCUGAUCAGUGGGGUGUGAGAUCAGUGGGUGAAAUUCUUCUUAGGAAAGCUUUGCUCUUGUGAAAGAGCACUAGAUUCAUGAGGCCCUUUUCUCCUUGAAUAUGGGAGUGAUAGCUGGAGCUGCAGCAGCCACCCUGAGGUCACACAUCAGCAGGGAUGAAAAUAAAGCCAAUAUCAUAGGGAUGGUGGGACAAAAAGUGAGAAAGACCCUGGUGUCUUCGUGAAAGUGGUGGGUAUUAUUGCAGCGAGAAAUACACCCUUAGCUGUUUGUGUCUGUUUUUUAUGUGUGAUUCUGUGGUAAAAAAGCAUCCAUGACCAAUUAAGUAAAUAUUUAACACCAAUCAAUUAAUAAAAUUAACAAUAGGCAAAGAUUCCUACAGUUGUAAAUGCUAUGGGGAUAAUUAAAAAGAUUUAGGCAGAAAAUAACAGACAGGUUGUAUUAUAAGAGCCUGGGGACAUCUUAAUGGGGAAGUGUCUCUGGAACUGCUGUCAGGACUGACAGAGAAAAAUGAGUCCUGGGAUUUGUGUUGGAAACAGUGGAGUCAGGCCCCUGUGGAAAGAGUCUGGCAUGUGUGAGGACCUGAGAGGUCAGCGGCAAACCUGAAAGGGGUCCUGGAUUCAGGCCAUUUCGGCUAAUUGUGCCAUUUUAAUAAAUUAGUAAUUUGGGGGCAGGAGUCAUGUGUGGUCAGGUGUGGUGAAGGGAAAUUUACAGGUAAUUAAUCAAGUUCUUUGGCAGCUGCUUAGCACAUAUAGGGGCUUCCAGGAUGGUGCUGCUGGGGCAGUGACAGGAGAGUCCCCGGUGGGUUGAGCCCAGCCCACUGACCCCUCCCUAGUUCACCUGGGGCUGAAGACACUCAGGGGAGUGGUUCCUGGUUUCUUACCUCCACCUGGUGCCCACCAUGCUGCUCUGUGGGGACCCCCACUGCUGUCUGUGUUUCUGGUCCUGGGCUCGCUGUCUUGAAUUCCAUGUGGGUGACCAGCACUGCUUUCCCUAAAAUUCUACAGAUACAGGACCUAGGAACACAAAAUCUGCAAACUGCACUUAACACAAAAGGGAAGGGGCUGAGAUGGGGAGGAACAAUUCCAAGGUCACUUGGCAAGGAGAGAGAAAAGGAAGACGAGAAAUGCUCUGGACCUGUAACAGUAAGUCUUCUGAGUGUCCUGGGACCAGCCUGCCAGGGAGGGCAUGGGAAAAUCCUCAGCCCAAAUUCUCAGCCCAAAUCCCUCCCUAUGGAGACGGCAUCUCAGUCAGCUCUUUUAGCUGCCUGUAGGGGGCGCGCCUGCCACACUCUGGGUUGAAAGGGAGAGAAAAGACGGUUGAUUCCCAGCUCAGGAACCAAGCUGUCUAGAGACAUUUUCUUUUCUUUUUUUUUUUUAAUUUAUUAUUAUUAUACUUUAAGUUUUAGGGUACAUGUGCACAAUGUGCAGGUUAGUUACAUAUGUAUACAUGUGCCAUGCUGGUGCGCUGCACCCACUAACUCGUCAUCUAGCAUUAGAUAUAUCUCCCAAUGCUAUCCCUCGCCCCUCCCCCCACCCCACAACAGUCC